UACAGAGGGGGCAAGCGUUGUUCGGAAUGACUGGGCGGAAAGGGCGCGUAGGCGGCCUGUUAAGUCGAACGUGAAAUCCCCGGGCUCAACCCGGGAACUGCGUCCGAUACUGGCAGGCUUGAAUCCGGGAGAGGGAUGCGGAAUUCCAGGUGUAGCGGUGAAAUGCGUAGAUAUCUGGAGGAACACCGGUGGCGAAGGCGGGUCUCUGGGCCGAUACUGACGCUGAGGAGCGAAAGCGUGGGGAGCGAACAGG
rnacentral:rRNA from 1 species